GAUGAACGCUAGCUACAGGCUUAACACAUGCAAGUCGAGGGGCAGCAUGAUUGAAGCUUGCUUCAAUUGAUGGCGACCGGCGCACGGGUGAGUAACACGUAUCCAACCUUCCGUACACUCAGGGAUAGCCUUUCGAAAGAAAGAUUAAUACCUGAUGGUAUCUUAAGCACACAUGUAAUUAAGAUUAAAGAUUUAUCGGUGUACGAUGGGGAUGCGUUCCAUUAGGUAGUAGGCGGGGUAACGGCCCACCUAGCCUACGAUGGAUAGGGGUUCUGAGAGGAAGGUCCCCCACAUUGGAACUGAGACACGGUCCAAACUCCUACGGGAGGCAGCAGUGAGGAAUAUUGGUCAAUGGACGAGAGUCUGAACCAGCCAAGUAGCGUGAAGGAUGAAAGGUCCUAACGGAUUUGGUAAAACUUCUUUUAUAAGGGAAUAAAACCUCCCACGUUGUGGGAGCUUGUAUGUACCUUAUGAAUAAGCAUCGGCUAACUCCGUGCCAGCAGCCG
rnacentral:rRNA from 1 species